rnacentral:rRNA from 1 species
AGAUCAGUACGCUGGUCGUGCCUUCGGUAUGCACUGGUGUCACUGGUUUCUCCCUUCUGAAGAACCGUAAUGCCAUUCAGUUGGUGUGGCGGGGAAUCAGGAUUGUUACUUUGAAAAAAUUAGAGUGUUUAAAGCAGGCUCGCGCUUGAAUACAUUAGCAUGGAAUAAUUCAAUAGGACGUUUGAUCCUAUUUUGUUGGUUUCUAGGAUCGACGUAAUGAUUAAUAGGGAUAGUUGGGC